rnacentral:rRNA from 1 species
AGAUUGAACGCUGGCGGCAGGCCUAACACAUGCAAGUCGAGCGGAAACAGAGAGUAACUUGUUACUUUGCUGUCGAGCGGCGGACGGGUGAGUAAUGCUUGGGAAACUGCCCAGUCGAGGGGGACAACCAUUGGAAACGAUGGCUAAUACCGCAUACGCCCUACGGGGGAAAGAAGGGGACUCUUCGGAGCCUUUCGCGAUUGGAUGUGCCCAAGUGGGAUUAGCUAGUUGGUGAGGUAAAGGCUCACCAAGGCAACGAUCCCUAGCUGGUUUGAGAGGAUGAUCAGCCACACUGGAACUGAGACACGGUCCAGACUCCUACGGGAGGCAGCAGUGGGGAAUAUUGCACAAUGGGCGCAAGCCUGAUGCAGCCAUGCCGCGUGUAUGAAGAAGGCCUUCGGGUUGUAAAGUACUUUCAGCGAGGAGGAAAGGUUGUAGUUUAAUAAACUACAGCUGUGACGUUACUCGCAGAAGAAGGACCGGCUAACUCCGUGCCAGCAGCCGCGGUAAUACGGAGGGUCCGAGCGUUAAUCGGAAUUACUGGGCGUAAAGCGUACGCAGGCGGUUUGUUAAGCGAGAUGUGAAAGCCCCGGGCUCAACCUGGGAACUGCAUUUCGAACUGACAAACUAGAGUUUUGUAGAGGGUGGUAGAAUUUCAGGUGUAGCGGUGAAAUGCGUAGAGAUCUGAAGGAAUACCAGUGGCGAAGGCGGCCACCUGGACAAUAACUGACGCUCAUGUACGAAAGCGUGGGGAGCAAACGGGAUUAGAUACCCCGGUAGUCCACGCCGUAAACGAUGUCAACUAGCCGACUGAAGCCUUGAGCUUUGGGUGGCGCAGCUAACGCAUUAAGUUGACCGCCUGGGGAGUACGGCCGCAAGGUUA